rnacentral:rRNA from 1 species
ACGUUAACGAACGAGACCUUGACCUGCUAACUAGCCCGUAUUGCUUUGGCAGUACGCUGGCUUCUUAGAGGGACUUUCGGCUUAAGCCGAAGGAAGUGCGAGGCAAUAACAGGUCUGUGAUGCCCUUCGAUGUUCUGGGCCGCACGCGCGCUACACUGACAAAGUCAGCGAGUCUCCUGGAUCGGAAGGUCUGGGUAAUCUUGUGAAACUUUGUCGUGAUGGGGAUUGACCAUUGCAAUUAUUGGUCAUGAACGAGGAAUUCCUAGUAAGUGCGAGUCAUCAGCUCGCGCUGAUUACGUCCCUGUCCUUUGUACACACCGCCCGUCGAUAAUACCGAUUGAAUGGAUG